AAAACAAACAAACAAACAAACAAGGACCGAUCCUGGGGAGGCAAACGAAAGAGAGUAUGGUGUUCUGGAAGCCAAGUGAAGAAAAUAUAUCUAGGAAGAGGGAGGCAUCAACCGUUCCGCUGGAUUUAUAGGGGAAUUUUCGUCCUUGUUGGCUUGCCAAUGCCUACCCCAUUGGCUUAAAUCAGAUAAUUUAUGUGAAUGACCAAUCACAAUGCUCAAUGCCAAUAAGGGCUCAAAAAUACUACCCAUUA